rnacentral:rRNA from 1 species
GACGAACGCUGGCGGCGUGCUUAACACAUGCAAGUCGAACGAAGUGGCGAACGGGUGAGUAACGCGUAAUCAACCUGCCCUUCAGAGGGGGAUAACAGUUGGAAACGACUGCUAAUACCGCAUACUGAAGGAGGGGACUGGGUCUGAUUAGCUAGUUGGGGGGGUAACGGCCCACCAAGGCGAUGAUCAGUAGCCCGUCGGGGAGGAUGAACGGCCACAUUGGGACAGAGACACGGCCCAGGCUGCUACGGGAGGCAGCAGUGGGGAAACUUCCGCAAUGGACGAAAGUCUUACGGCACAACGCCGCGUGAGGGAUGACGGCCUUCGGGUUGUAAAGCUCUGGUAGUCGGGGCGCGGUACCGGAAUAGAAAGCCACGGCUAACUACGUGCCAGCAGCCGCGGUAAUUC